rnacentral:rRNA from 1 species
CAGUAGCCGCGGUAAUACGUAGGGUGCAAGCGUUAAUCGGAAUUACUGGGCGUAAAGCGUGCGCAGGCGGUUAUAUAAGACAGAUGUGAAAUCCCCGGGCUCAACCUGGGAACUGCAUUUGUGACUGUAUAGCUAGAGUACGGCAGAGGGGGAUGGAAUUCCGCGUGUAGCAGUGAAAUGCGUAGAUAUGCGGAGGAACACCGAUGGCGAAGGCAAUCCCCUGGGCCUGUACUGACGCUCAUGCACGAAAGCGUGGGUAGCAAACAGGAUUAGAUACCCCCGUAGUCCCUGUCUCUUAUAC